UAAUGACCAUUUGAAAACUCAACAUUCAACCAUUGGGAUUUAAAGGUUCUGCUAAAAAAAGAGAAACAAUAAUGAAUAAAUAAAAAAAGAAAAGAAAAGGUGAGGACAACGAAGGAAAAUCCAGUCGUCCUCCUCUCUCUAUCUCACUCGCCCUCAAUGAAAACUCCCUCUGCUCUCGCGUCCCCAAACUUCACCGUCAACCUUCGCUCACCCCUCACAACCUCUCACAACCUCUCAUUCGCUCACCUCUCGCAAUCUCUCUUAAAAUCGCCCAUCGUCGCUCACAUCUCACUCAAUCUCUCUGAAACGAAGCAAGAAACCAUGGCUAAAACAAAAAGGGCUCACCUUCGGCGGUGGUGACGGUGAUGAUGAAGCCUAAACUUCACUAUGUCGCCUCUCUAUUCCAGCUUAGGGUUUUGAUUUGGUCCCCCAAAGGUUCAAUGGAGAAAAUUUUCAGAAGUGCUUUUGUGUGCUCAGAAUCAAUUUUAUCAUGUUUUACGCUACAAUCCGGAAACGUGAAGAUUGAAGCAUUGGUUUCGGUUUUCUCACAGCCUUGUUGGUGUACUCGGUUUUGGGUGGCUCGUGAUUUCAGUUUGGAUGUGUGAGGAUGGUGUAACGUUGAUUAGAAGACGUGUUGCCGUAACUUCCGAAUUGAAAAGUGUAUGGUUUGGGUCCAAUACAAGGCACAACUUCCUAGCAGCAAACAUUCCGUUCUAUUCUUCAAGCCUCUUAGUUCUCUCUUUGAAUAACGACUUUCUACUUCUUGUCAUAACCUUCAAAACUAACUCAGCAUCAACCCAUGUAUCCUGGGGUCGAGAAAAACCUUAUGCGCAUACUUCAGGAGCUGAUUCUACGCCAUCUUUCAUAUUCUGAGGGAGACUGCAGAAUAAACAUUCUGAGUAACAGGGGGUGAAUUGAUGGUUCAUGGGGAACAGACAAAACAUCUGCAGUGUUGUGAUUUAGCACCAAACUGAGAAGCCCAUUUAAUGUUGUUAAAUCAAACUUCUCGACAAUUCAGACUUGGUCUGUAGCAUACUUCACAAAUUGUUUAUAUCACUUAUAAACCAAAACGGUGAUGGCUCCGAAUCUGCGGGCUCUAUCUAGUUGGGAAAGAGAUAACUAUUGUUGCCACAGACAUUGAUCAAGAUGGGCAUCAGUAAACUUCUCAAGAGGCUCAAUUUCGUACACCGGAGUCAAGUGGCUAUAAAUCCAUAAACUCUAAUACAACCUUUGGAAGGCACGCUGGGUGAUGAAAUUUGUUUAGAUGCACGACGCCAAGGAUCUUGUGAACCAUUUGUGAAUACUAUUUUGGAACCAGCAACUUUUGGUGCCUCCAUAGUAUAAAUUAGUUGCAUCAACAUCAGGAUAUAUGCCCUUUCCAAAGACAUUUUUGCAAAGGUCCAAAUAGUAUCUCGUGUCAACUUUGUGGGAGCGUAUACUGUCAUUUGAAGGAGCCACCUGAAAGUAUGCAACAACAGCAAUACCCGGAUACCGAAAUUCCAGACCACGCAGAGCAACUGUAUAACCCUCUUUAUAAGCUUUUUCAUACUUUAAGACAUCUUCAGUAGUUAAAUACAGAGGUUCCUUAAGGCAGUCCGGAUGAAAGUCCUGAAGGCACCGCACAUAUCUCUUUGUGUAUCCUAAAUCAUUAACCAAUGGAACUUCCAAGGCUUUUGCCAACUGACGGGCUGAUGCAACAAACAAAUUGCAAUUAUUUUGCAACUCUGGAAUGGAUAGAUUGGGUGCUGCAUUUUGUGUACACGCCUGAUAUUUUUGAGCAACUGCUUCAAGCUGACUAACCUGAGGAAUUAACAAUCUUCUAGGGAUGAGCUCUUCAUGAUGCCGAGCACAAAAUUUCCAAGAACAUCUCUUCAGGUCUGUGUUGUUGCUGAUACAUGUAAUGUGUCGGCCGCCUAGCACACAUCCCAGGUUCAUAUGCUGGUUUCACAGGAGACCUUAUGGGCAUAUUCUGCUGUUGAAACUGUUGCGGUAGCUGGGACCGUUGCUGCUGAGGUAUUGACUUUAAGAGUUACUGCUGCUGAUGUUGCAAAAGUCUCUGCUAUUGCAAAAGAUUCAUCUGUGCAGCAGUAGCCUGAGAGGUGAUACCGUAACCGCAAGCACUUCAUCCUGGGUAACGGCGGCUGAAAAGUGGUUGAGCUUGUUACUGGUUCUUCCAGAAUUCUGGACUGUUGAAGAUUGGUUCAAGGAGUGAGCUUGGUGUGAAAUUCCAACCGGAACGGAAAGAUUGCGGCAUUGUUGGAGGUGGCGGAGAAUGUGUCGACGUACUCCCGCACGGAUUGAACUCCUCGGCAGUGGCUGCAGCAGGAGCCGCGGAUUCCUCAGGUGACCGUUUCGCGAGAUCUCCGGCUCUUAGAGUUGAGCUUGAGCAAAUUCUCUUGACAUCAUACCGACUUAUGUCAAAGUUGGUCACAGCACUUGUUCCUCUAAACUUGAUUGCUGCAAUAUCAUAUGCUUCUGCAGCCUCCUCUUGUGUGCUAAAUGUACCAAGAUACAAGUCUUUGUUUCCCGCAACCCUUCCGAUUCGAGCCUGCCACCUUCCAUGUUGAUGGUGUGAUGUUACAUAACUCUGUUAACUUUUCCAAGUGUAGGAACAAAAGAAUCACUAAUCAUCUUGAAGAAAUUAAGCUUCAUUAUGCUAUCAGCAAAUCCUGCAGAAGAAGCAUUCUUCUUCUUGAAAAUAUGGAAAAAAUGACUCUUUGAUUGUCCAAGCUGCAACAGGCUGGAAGAUCUCAAUUUGUUCAACCUCAUCACUUCAGGAAUUGAUGGAAACACCAGAACUGCAUCAAGUUUGUCCCUUCCUUUCUUAACAGCAGUCUUCACUUUGAGUGUUGACAAAACAUACCAGUUUGAGGUCUGCUGCGAAUUCUGUUGUGGUUGAGUGGUGAUGGAGAGAUUCUGGAUGGGAUUAUCACAAGUAACUUCAGGCUUACAGUUUCCUUCAUUAGAAUCAUCGGUAUUUAAGGAAAUGGAGGCAAAAGGUGGAAGGGUGGCCAAUGAUUCUGGUGUCAAAGGGAGUCCGUGCCUCUCAAUCUCAUUCCUAUAAGAAUAAAAAUCAUUGGAACCCAAAAUUGUAAUGUCAAUACCUUGUAAAAGUAGUUUGUGUAACGAUUCUUUUUUAUUCUGGUCAAACGCUGCAUAAGCAGCAGCCACAGAGUAUUGCACUGCAUAUUCCACAAAAGGGUUCCUUGUUUCACUUGAGGAAACAGUUUGUAUAGUAAGAUUUUUUAGAAUUGGUUGUAACGUGGGAAUUAGUUGUAGGAUAUGGAUGUGAUGCAAUGGUGAUUAAAUGUAAUUGGUCAUGAAAAUGUAUGUAUGAAAAUGAGUUUGGAAAUGUUUGAAAGUUAAAUAUUA